UCCAGCAGUUAUAUCACCCUGCAAAUCACAACUAGCAGCCCACCAAAGUGUGAGCCUGGUCAGUACCUGGAUGGGAGACCUCAAGGAAAAACUAAGGUUGCUGCUGGAA
rnacentral:rRNA from 1 species